GGAGUUUUUAGCCUUUUAACAUUCAAGGAUUAGGUAAGUUCUCCCCGCGGUAGACUUCAAAUACUCUUUGUCCUGCCCCUGCUUGGCGAAAUUUACCGAAAUUAUCUACCUAUCCCGCUGGAGUGGGAGCCGGGGGAGAGCUGGAACCGCGUCUCUGCUGCUCACCUUUGUGUCCUUAGCUCCUUCGCAUGGGGUCCGACCGCAACACGUGCGCUGGAUAAACGCUUGUUAACUGGGUAAAAGUCUUGCAGUGAAAAACCCGAGGACCCUUACCGCAAGUGUCUUUUGCUCCCAGCUACUGAUACUGGAUUCCACUCGUGAUUCUCCCUUUCUUAGCGCAUUCAUGAUAUAGACAUCAGUCUCUGAGCUGGAGGAGGACAAAGGCAGCGGUCCUGUGAAUUCUAUGCUCUAGCUUGGGUUAAGGGAUUUGGAAUUGCACUUGUUUCAGAGAGCUCCCUCUUUGCCCACUAGCAGGGCAUUAGCUGGUGCUGAAGACAGUGGCUGCUUGGCGAGCCUGGAUCUCCAAGUGACCCCCUCAGCAACUCCUGAUGAACAGGACUGAAGCCAAUAUUAAAGCAAGUCAACCAAAGGUUCUCUGGUGUAGACAAGACAGCAAAAGGACAGACUACCUUGUGGAACCUAGCAUUGUUCUCCUUCUGCAGCACUAAGUAACAUUUGUUCUCCGUUAAGAUCUUUGCAAACCACACACAAGAAUUGCUGGUCAUCCUGCCAAUAGAUGCUGCUCACAGAACCAAAUUUCCUGUGCUGAAUUGUCACUCAUGGGCUUGAGAGUAGGAGACUGGAGACCAAGGUGGCUAGAAUCCAGUUGGGCCUGAUGUCUCCC
rnacentral:lncRNA from 10 species